rnacentral:lncRNA from 1 species
AGUGAUGUAUACUUAGCUUCUUUGAGUGUAAAGGAAUGCCCAAGUACUUGAAAGGGAGAUGCCCUUCACUGAAUCCCAAGUCCUCAAGAAUAGCCUCUUAUUCAAUCUGAGAAAUGCCAGCAAAAUAUAUAGCACUCUUAAACUUGUUGGCUGAAAGUCCAGAUGCUGCAGAGAAUGAUAAGAAUGCAUCAUGCAGUAAUUGAAN